CCUACGGGAGGCAGCAGUGGGGAAUUUUGGACAAUGGGCGCAAGCCUGAUCCAGCCAUGCCGCGUGUGGGAAGAAGGCCUUCGGGUUGUAAACCACUUUUGUCAGGGAAGAAACGGCUUUUUCUAAUACAGAGAGCUAAUGACGGUACCUGAAGAAUAAGCACCGGCUAACUACGUGCCAGCAGCCGCGGUAAUACGUAGGGUGCAAGCGUUAAUCGGAAUUACUGGGCGUAAAGCGUGCGCAGGCGGCUUUGCAAGACAGAUGUGAAAUCCCCGGGCUCAACCUGGGAACUGCAUUUGUGACUGCAUGGCUAGAGUACGGUAGAGGGGGAUGGAAUUCCGCGUGUAGCAGUGAAAUGCGUAGAUAUGCGGAGGAACACCGAUGGCGAAGGCAAUCCCCUGGACCUGUACUGACGCUCAUGCACGAAAGCGUGGGGAGCAAACAGGAUUAGAUACCCUGGUAGUCCACGCCCUAAACGAUGUCAACUGGUUGUUGGACGGCUUGCUGUUCAGUACGAAGCUAACGCGUGAAGUUGACCGCCUGGGGGAGGUACGGCCGCGAGUAGAACGUACGAAGGAAGUUAGACGGCGUAGAGACGUUAGCCGACGGACGACGACGAGGGAGGAGG
rnacentral:rRNA from 1 species